UGGGGAAUCUUGCGCAAUGGGCGAAAGCCUGACGCAGCAACGCCGCGUGGAGGAUGAAGGCCCUUGGGUUGUAAACUCCUGUCGGCUGGGAAGAAGUUGUUCGCGACUAAUACUCGCGGACAUUGACUGUACCAGCAAAGGAAGCCCCGGCUAACUCUGUGCCAGCAGCCGCGGUAAUACAGAGGGGGCCAGCGUUAUUCGGAAUUAUUGGGCGUAAAGGGCGCGUAGGCGGCCAUGCGUGUCUUCCGUGAAAUCCCUCGGCUUAACCGAGGACGUGCGGAAGAAACUGCAAGGCUCGAGUCCGGAAGAGGGGGGCGGAAUUCCCAGUGUAGCGGUGAAAUGCGUAGAUAUUGGGAGGAACACCAGUGGCGAAGGCGGUCCCCUGGGCCGGAACUGACGCUGAGGCGCGAAAGCGUGGGUAGCAAACGG
rnacentral:rRNA from 1 species